UUGUUUUUGCAUGGCCUCUGCGUUCAUAACUAUGAGUAAAAUAACUACAGUGGAUUUUACUUAAAUGUAUUUUUGUAUGUAGAUGAAGUAAUGAAUAUGUAUGGAGAAGAGGCCUCGUCGACCGUUCUAGAGGUCAAUGUCAGAUGAAUGAACGGCCAAUUUACUAAGAACCUUCAUUGAAUGUUUCACUUCCCUUUCUCCCAUUGAAGUUACGAAGCACAAUCGGAAGCAUAAAGGUUCAUAUUAUAAUGGCGAAAUUUACUGCCGGUUCCGCUUCUUGUGGGUGGAAACGCGUUAAUUUGUCAACGGUGCGAAUUAUUUUAACCUUAGAACAUUUAACCGCCUUCGUAGACGAAUCGUUUAUCACAACACAAAGCCAAUGUAAAUUUUGCACACUUUUUAAAUCUGACCAAGAAUGAGAAUAGGUCCUAGCCUAACCUCUAGAAUAAUAAAAAAAAUAUUUCGUGGAUACGAAUACCAUGUGUAGUACGUCAUACGUGUAACAAGUAGAUGCGCAAGAGUCGGUAGAGCAAGUGGAGCGCAGGGGGCAUGUGCGCGCGGCGUGACAGCUUGCCCGUCCAAUUGGUUGAGAUUGCAUGCUUCCGCCGGCCGCUUCCGGUCGAUAACAGCAAGACCGCUGGAGCGCCGGACUGGCCGUAGCGCGCACUCGCCGCAACGGUCAACGGUCUUGCUCAAUCACUUACAUGCAUUAAGCUUUCAAGCUAUUUAGGUCGUUCUGAGAUGCAAUUAUAUUAUAUGAUUACUUAUUUCUUUUAUGGCUUGAAAGUCACGUGUGUAGGUUAUAUUGUUUUACUGAUCAUAAUUAAAGAUUAAACACUUA